GACGGAGGUCCCUAGCGUUGUUCGGAAUCACUGGGCUUAAAGCGCGUGUAGGCGGAACGGAAGGUACUUUGUGAAAUCCCCGGUCUCAACCCGGGAAUUGCUCGGUAUACUACCGUUCUUGAGGCAGGUAGGGGUCACUGGAACCUUAGGUGGAGCGGUGAAAUGCGUAGAUAUCUAAGGGAACGCCUGUGGCGAAAGCGGGUGACUGGGCCUGUCCUGACGCUGAGACGCGAAAGCGUAGGGAG
rnacentral:rRNA from 1 species